AAUACCUGUAAAAAAACGUAUAUAUUAAAAUCUAAAUGGUAGUAUUUCAGUUGAAAUAAAAAUAAAAUUUUAAAAAAAUAUUGCAAUCUUGCUGGUCAUCAACGUUUUCGCACAGCAUAUUUUUGUAGUCUACUUAUCUAAAACAGUGGUUGUCAUAAGUUUGAAGUGGAAAAAUAAAAAUAAAAUCCCACAAAAAAUAUAUUUCUUUGUAGCUAAUAUUAAUGUUCAACUGAUGUGUCGGCAUAUCAAUACAAUACUAAAAGUUGAAUAAGAGCUCCUCUCAUGCUGUCCACGUCCUCAAAAAUAAUUAGCCAAUGAGGAAGCUUCAUUUUGCCAGGUCGUUAUUUUUUUUUUGUCGACUAAAGAUACAAAUCGUGUCUUUGGUAUUUGGUUACAGGUCCUUUUUCUUAGCCCAACAAUAGCCCAAUUUUUGUCUGCAACCUAAUACAUGUCAAAAAGAGUUACGACAUCGUCAUCUUCUAUCUCAUCUGUUCCGCUUCCCCUUCAUCUGUUCCGCUUCCCCUUCUCCCCUUCUCCUUUUGAUCUUAUAUGCGUGAACCACAGUACCCUUCCAACUUUCUCUCUUUCUCCCACUACAAGAAGUCAGAGUCAACUCGGAAGCUCUACAGCCGCCGGAAGAUAGCUUAUAGCUCUCGGACCCACCGAUUUAGACGGCAGCGAGCUUCUCUACCACCAACAAGCCUCUGCGUUUAUGCCGUCAUCUACUCCGCCUUGGCCACUCCGGAUUCGUUGCGCAUCUUUCUUCACGAGAACCAAGCUCUCUCUCUCUCUCUCUCUCUCUCUCUCUCUCUCUCUCUCUCUCUCUCUCUCUCUCUCUCUCUCUCUCUCUCUCUCUCUCUGAUCUUCGUUUGAUUAGGCACAGGAAGGUGGAUCGUGAGCAGAGUUGGUUGUCAUGAGCUUGAAGACAGAGGAGGUAUGGCGUGGUGGUGGUGCUAGCAGCCUCUGCUCACCGGAGAGUGAAGAAAACAAAGGAUCUAUGGCGUGAUGCGGUGGAUGAAGAUGACGACGUUAUGCGGCUGAUGAUUAUUCAACUCAGAUUUAGAUUUAGGUUUUUUUGUUUGUUUGGUUUAGUGUUUUUUACUUGGUUUAGAUUUAGAUAUAUACUUCCAUUUGACCUAUUUCUAGGAGGCUGGACACAGUGCGAAAGGUGGAGCUCUUAUUGGCUUAGAGCUGCUCAUCAUCAAUGAACAGCUCUGUUCUAUCUGGUGUAGACCACAUGUGCCUACCUAUGUAUGAUGACCAGUUCAGGUUCCACGUUCAUGAGGAUUUUGAAUCCAACUGUGGACUCAGGGGAGACCUCUAUGGUGUGAGAUGUGGUUGGCCUCAUGAAGCUACUGAAUUGACAAUUGCUCAUUCACCGUCCGGUCCUUGACUACGUGGAAAUAGCGAACACAAGGCCUGUUCUGUUUCACUUACAAACUAAAGAGACCUGUUAUGAAGCUGUAUCUCUGGGACCAGGCAGCAACAGUAUUCUACAAAUUCACGGCCAGUGCCGACACUUCCGUUAUCCUUUUAGUGAUGACACUGAAUUCAGAACAUAUUCGUGGACCCUUGCCCUCAGCUCAAUCUCAUCAUCACAUGUUUUCAUCGACAAAUAUUCCAACCCACAAUCAACUACUUCAAUUGUCAGGUUGAAUUCUAACCUAGAGUUUGCUAAGAAAGUGAAUGCAUAGGAGGUGACUAAGGCUGAGACAACGACAAUUGGAAAAAUCUUUGCUUAUAUCAAGCAAGGAUUGGCCAAGGCCGUGAGCUAACUGGAAAGCAUGCCUCCGAAUUGGUUGAUAAGUACUUUGAGGCUAAUGGUGAUCUUGGUACUAACCAUGAAUGCCUGUCCUACAAACUUUGAUCGACGCCAUUGGUCAAACACAUAGGUUCAAGGUGUAAGUUUCUGAAUACAACUUAGAAGGAAGGACUCAGGCUAUAACAGUUAUGAAGGUUGUCUCUCCUUCAGUCCUGCAACCUUUAACAUCCCCGGUUGGAAUCACACUUGCCACCACUUCUGAAAUGCCUCUAUUUUCUGCAAGUGAUUAGGGUGCGUCCUCCAAAGACUGGAGACCUAGCUGUUGAAGAAAACGCCAGUACAAGUAACUGUGACAAAGCACAGAGGAAAACGUGCUAAAUUUGAGUAAUAGAGCAUUAACCACUCAUUUUAUAUAUUGCACUUAUGCGUAGGAGUGUAGCUUUUCUGUCCGUUUCUAAUUAUGAGCGUUUGUUAAGUUUUUUUUAAUAUAUUUAGUAUGGCUUUA